rnacentral:rRNA from 1 species
AUUGAACGCUGGCGGCAUGCCUUACACAUGCAAGUCGAACGGUAACAGGUCUUCGGAUGCUGACGAGUGGCGAACGGGUGAGUAAUACAUCGGAACGUGCCCGAUCGUGGGGGAUAACGCAGCGAAAGCUGUGCUAAUACCGCAUACGAUCUACGGAUGAAAGCGGGGGAUCGCAAGACCUCGCGCGGACGGAGCGGCCGAUGGCAGAUUAGGUAGUUGGUGGGAUAAAAGCUUACCAAGCCGACGAUCUGUAGCUGGUCUGAGAGGACGACAGCCACACUGGGACUGAGACACGGCCCAGACUCCUACGGAGGCAGCAGUGGGGAAUUUUGGGACAAUGGGCGCAAGCCUGAUCCAGCCAUGCCGCGUGCAGGAUGAAGGCCUCGGUUGUUAACGUAGUACGUUUGUUACGGU